AUUGAACGCUGGCGGCAUGCCUUACACAUGCGAGUCGAACGGUAACAGGUUAAGCUGACGAGUGGCGAACGGGUGAGUAAUAUAUCGGAACGUGCCCAGUCGGGGGGGAUAACGUAGCGAAAGCUACGCUAAUACCGCAUACGAUCUACGGAUGAAAGCGGGGGAUCGCAAGACCGCGCGCGAUUGGAACGGCCGAUAUCAGAUUAGGUUGUUGGUGAGGUAAAAGCUCACCAAGCCUGCGAUCUGUAGCUGGUCUGAGAAGACGACCAGCCACACUGGAACUGAGACACGGUCCAGACUCCUACGGGAGGCAGCAGUGGGGAAUUUUGGACAAUGGACGCAAGUCUGAUCCAGCAAUGCCGCGUGCAGGACGAAGGCCUUCGGGUUGUAAGCUGCUUUUGUACGGAACGAAACGGUGAGCUCUAAUACAGUUUGCUAAUGACGGUACCGUAAGAAUAAGCACCGGCUAACUACGUGCCAGCCGCCGCCGUAA
rnacentral:rRNA from 1 species